AUUGAACGCUGGCGGCAGGCCUAACACAUGCAAGUCGAACGAGUAGCGGACGGGUGAGUAAUUUCUGGGAAACUGCCCGAUGGAGGGGGAUAACUACUGGAAACGGUAGCUAAUACCGCAUCCCAUCGUAUGUGCCCAGAGGGGAUUAUCUAGUAGGGGGGGUAACGGCUCACCUAGGCGACGAUCCCUAGCUGGUCUGAGAGGAUGACAAGCCAAACGGGAACUGAGACACGGUCCAGACGCCUACGGGAGGCAGCAGUAGGGAAUAUUGAGCAAUGGGCGAAAGGCGGAUGCAGCCAUGCCGCGUGUAUGAAGAAGGUCUUCGGGUUGUAAAGUACGUUCAGCGGGGAGGCGUUAUUCGCAGAAGAAGCACCGGCUAACUACGUGCCAGCAGCCGCGGUAAUUC
rnacentral:rRNA from 1 species